GAAAGGCGCGCGAUACAGGGUGACAGCCCCGUACACAAAAAUGCACAUGCUGUGAGCUCGAUGAGUAGGGCGGGACACGUGGUAUCCUGUCUGAAUAUGGGGGGACCAUCCUCCAAGGCUAAAUACUCCUGACUGACCGAUAGUGAACCAGUACCGUGAGGGAAAGGCGAAAAGAACCCCGGCGAGGGGAGUGAAAAAGAACCUGAAACCGUGUACGUACAAGCAGUGGGAGCACGCUUAGGCGUGUGACUGCGUACCUUUUGUAUAAUGGGUCAGCGACUUAUAUUCUGUAGCAAGGUUAACCGAAUAGGGGAGCCGAAGGGAAACCGAGUCUUAACUGGGCGUUAAGUUGCAGGGUAUAGACCCGAAACCCGGUGAUCUAGCCAUGGGCAGGUUGAAGGUUGGGUAACACUAACUGGAGGACCGAACCGACUAAUGUUGAAAAAUUAGCGGAUGACUUGUGGCUGGGGGUGAAAGGCCAAUCAAACCGGGAGAUAGCUGGUUCUCCCCGAAAGCUAUUUAGGUAGCGCCUCGUGAAUUCAUCUCCGGGGGUAGAGCACUGUUUCGGCAAGGGGGUCAUCCCGACUUACCAACCCGAUGCAAACUGCGAAUACCGGAGAAUGUUAUCACGGGAGACACACGGCGGGUGCUAACGUCCGUCGUGAAGAGGGAAACAACCCAGACCGCCAGCUAAGGUCCCAAAGUCAUGGUUAAGUGG
rnacentral:rRNA from 1 species